GAGUUGUAGUUCCUAGUUGGCCACCGACCGCUUACUGGACCUUUGAGGAACUACAACUCCCAGAAAGUAUAGGGCGAGUUCCGUCGCCCCCCGGGCUCAUUGGUCCCUGCAGGAUCCAGCGUUGUGUGAAAAAGAGGAAGCUCUGGAGCAGUGCAAGGUGCUUCUGUUCUCCUGCUGGAAAGAUCCCGGGAUCCGAGCCUACUACUCAUAACAUAUCUCAAACAGAUUUUUAUUUUUUAAAAAAGAAGAAAGAAGGAAGGAAAGACAAGAGGGAAAGAAAGCAAGCUUUUAUUGAAUAUCAAUAUGUCCAUCCACGUUGUCGCAAACACUUGGAUUUUCUUUCUUGGCCCUACACAGCAACUCACUGCGACGACGUCAUGGAAGAACAGCCUCCUUGGGCAUCCAGGAUACAGUGGAGAUGAAAUGGACUCAGAGGAGUGGAUCAAGCUGACUCUGGGACCACACUGCCUUUGGCCUUCCUAUUGUAUGAAUCAAUAAAUUUCCUAAUCAUUUAAGCCAGUUUUAGUUGGGUUUUACAUUUCUUGCAACAGAAAUUUACAUUUUACAUUUCUGCAAAGCUCUCUGCCUGAUAUGGUGAUAAUACCUACAUCAUCGUUUGCUGUGAGGAUAAGAUGAGAGAGUGUCUAAAGCAGCAGCCCAAUGCCUAGGACAUGGCGAGAACCCAACAGUGGCUCUCAAGGGUGGCUCUCCAUUUUGUCCUAGAGAUGCCAAGAGGCACCUCUUGAACAAUUAAUGUCCACAGACUCCCAAGGUAUCAAGAUAACAGCCCUAGAGAUAAAACAAACGUAGACAGCAAGAGGAUUCUCCAGGACAUUGUGUCUAUCUCAGAGUCCUCCAAGUGUCUCAGCAAACAUUUACUGACUUGUACUGAACGCCUGCUUUCUACAGAGUCCAGUACUUACGAUCACGUACAAAGUGGUAUGUACAGUGCAGGAGGAGAGACCACGUGGAAAUGUAAUCAAACAGACAUGCAUUCAGAUUCCAAAUACGAGUUACCACUUUCCUUUGCUCAGUCCAGGACAGACAUUGCCAAUCAACCACCGAACUCUUUCUCACUGAGCCUAGACCCAGCCUCAAAAUCCUUCACAGCUGAACAUUCUAGAGAACCACUACCAACUGAACAAAGUGAGCACACAAGAUGAAACUUAUUUGCCUUCCCUACUGCAACGAACCAAGUGUCUGAUACUAGAUAAAAUUGGUAGACUAAAAACACAGAUACCUGGUUUAGAAGAAAAGAGUUUGGGAAGUCAAAAUUAGUGCGUAUGUAAGAAAUUGCUAACAGAUUUUAAAAAAAAAUCUCAGGGGCUGAAGGACAAAUGAUGCAAACCAGUCUGACACCAUCAGCGCCUACCUGACUCCCUGACUCCUCCCCCUCCUUCCUCCUCUUCCCACACUGGGACACAUGACCCCACUUACAGUGCAGGUCCUGCCAGUUCACUGAGCCCACUGUAGCCUUUCUUGCCUCCAGGUUCCUGUCCUUCUGGUCUGUGGGAUCAGCUGCAGCUAACCUUCCAUGCCAUGUCAACAAAGACAAUUUUAUCAGUUUGUAAAAGGUCAGGGAAGAGAUUAUCAAAUUGAUUCAAGGAACCCCACUGAGACCCGUGUACCCAGGAGAGGGCCAGAUAAAUAAAAAGAAGCUUGGGCAGCUCUUUUGGGAAGAAACAAACAUACAAACUUUUUUUUAAGUUUGCAACCAAAGCAGCGCCCCCUUCCUCUUGUAGAAUGGGAGGAAAGAUGGUAGAGAGGGUGGGCAUCUGCAAGGUGAAUUUUGUGAUAACAAUUACGUGCUGAAAGCCAGAACUGCCUCUCCAGAAAGUGGCUGGCCUUAAGUGUUGUUCGGGGGCAGGUCCUCCUCUUCACUAGAGUGAUUUCCAUUGUAUCUGGACCAGUUGAAGCUUGAGAGUUAGGGAUCAGGAUUUGGAAUUCUUAGCCCACCCCUUCCUGGACUCUACUCCCAACGAUAUACUCAAACCAAGGCUGAGGCCGCCUGGUGUAUCAACAGCCAGCCUUCUGCUACAAAUUGGAGCAAGACUGAAAACCAGAAGAUGGUGGAUCAUUUCAGAUUGGCCAGACUAAUCCUUUUUCAUUUAUAAAUAAACCGUCUUUAUUUGAGACUCAAGUCCUGCUGGUUUUGAAUUUUAAGCGGUUAUUUGUUUCUAUACUCUUGGCACCACACUGAUGUCACUGCAGCCUCUAGCUGGUCUCUCUGCCCACCCUCUUGCUCCACUCCAGUCAGUUCUACAUUGCAGCCAGUGUGAUCUUUCUAAAAUACAAUCUGAUCUUUUCAAAGCCUCCUUACUCCGUGGGAAAGUGUCCAAGCUCUUGACUACGACUUGCAAGGUCCUCUGUGAUCUGGCCUCUGCUCACACCGCCUCACCUCUCCCCACUCCCCAUUUUAUCCUUUAUCCUCCAGCAUUGUGGUGGAAAGAACAAUGGCCUCCAAAGAUAUCCAGGUCCUAAGACCCGGGAUCUGUGAAGGACAUUACCUUACACGGAAAAGGCACUUUGCAGAUGUAAUUAGAUUAAGGCUCUUGAGAGGGGGAGGUGAUCCUCGUUUAUACCAAUGGGGCCUGAUGUAAUCACAAGUGUCUUUAUCAGAGGGCGGGAGGGAAAUUAGACUACAGGAGAGGAGAAGGAUCUGACCCCAGAGGCAGAGAUUGGAGUGACGAGGCGACAGGCCAAGGAAUGCCACAGCUACCAGAAGCUGGAAGAGGCAAGAAAGGAUUCUCUCCCUGGAGCUCCCAGAAGGAACCAGCCCUGCCAACACCUCCAUUGUAGCUCCAUAAGAUUCAGUUCAGACUUCUGGCCUCUAGAACUCCAAGAGAAUACAUUUCUGUUGUUUUAAGCCACUAAAUCUAUGGUAAUCUGUUACAGCAGCAAUAGGAAACUGAUACAAGCCUUGUCAAAUGACAGUGGUUCCAGAACACAUCCU